CGGGGUUCAUGGCUGCCAAGAAGUGAUAGUAUCGACGAGGAGCUCUUCGCCGUUCAAAAAAGUGUUACGAGUCACUGCCAGCAAAAGUUGACAGAAGCGGACGCUGAGCUCUUGAUAAACGAGCUCUGCUUUGUGCGUUCAUGUGGGAUUGAGGUUGUCGGUCCUUGUUUUUGCUUGCUCCUUUCUUUUGUUUUGAUUACAAUGUCAACAAAGGUGGGCAUCUGGGAUUGUUACCUCACCCGGUGGAGGCAGACGAGAGGGAGGCCAAGUUGCCGAUCUCAGAUUUCCCUUCUGAUAAGUGCCCUGUGGAUGCUUAUCCCCCGUCCUGAAGUGUGUGAACACAAAAAUUGUUGGAUUGUUUGCAGUAUCUCAGAGUUGCAAACAUACCUGACAUUCUUUGUGGUGAGCAACAAGAAGAUAGUGUUUUCUCUGGUUGACAGAGCUGCAAGAGGUUUUAUGAUUCGCUGUUUGACUGAUGGAGGUGCAGUCUGGCAGUAGGGCUAUAUGCUGAGGUGAUUGGAGCAAGAUAUAAUAGCAUUUUCUUUCUUCUUUUUUUUUUUUUUUUUUUGCCUUUGACCUUGCUGUUUGCCCAUCACAGAUUGUCAGGUGUGGUGCUGAUCUAUGCUACCAAACUGUAAAUGAUAUAAAUGGGAUCUAAAUGACCUUUUACGUUACACUGGGCUCCUUUUUGUAAAUGCCUUGGAUGAUGCGUUGGCUCGGAGACAUGUCUCAGAAUCUUUUUGUGUUGUGAACUGGAAUGAAAGUUGUCUUUGUUAGCUGGUUAGUUCAGUGACCCAGAGUUUUGCCUGAACUGGGCGUCAUUCCUAUUUGUUUGUCAAAUACUAUUUGUUUGGGUUUUUUUUUUUAAAAAGUGGAUCCUGGUACAGUUUUUUUUCUCAAUAAAUAAAACAGCCUGUGGAUUUCCAAAAAAAAAGUUGUUGUACGAAAACUUAACAGUGCAAACUUUAGUCAGGUGUAACCAAGAAUAUGACUCAGAAUGGCUGAAGAAUCUUCAUCAGUAGAUUAUGUAAAUGGUAAAUGGCCUGUAUUUAUAUAGCGCUUUACUAGUCCCUAAGGACCCCAAAGCACUUUA
ensembl:lncRNA